AUAAACAUACACACACAUAAAGCUCACGUACAUACACUGACAUAUUCAUUACCGACAUUUUAGGGGCACAUGUCCAGACUCUCUACUUCUAGGGACUCUAGUUUCCCAUGUUAAGUACAUACAGAGCUUUCAUUUCUCAUAGUAUAUGUUCUGUGCCUCUGCGUGAUCCAGAACUCCCACAGAGAUUUUUGCUGAUUCAUUUUCAUUAGAAGGAUGGCCGUAUCGUUCCCAGUUCGUUGGCGUGGAAACGGGUGCUAUUAAUCAUAAGAAGAAGAGUGAAUACAUCGUGAUGAAUAAGACGUAUUUAAAAAACGCUGAACCACUUUAAGAAAUAAUCAGCAAUAUCAAUUGUAAGUAAAUUAGAAUUUAUAACCAUAAUUCAGAAUUUACAAACUAAGAUUUACUAUGAAAUCAUCAUUACUGCACAGAAUUAAAAUUUACUUAAAAUCACAUAAAUAGAUAAUCUUUUUGAUAUAUAUUCUAUAAUAUUUUAAUUGAUUAUUUAAUAUAUUAUUUGAAUUGAUUAUUUAAUAUAAACAGUAUUGUUCGAUACGCGCAUAUAUCGGUGCCGGCAAGUAUUUCGGAGCUUGUCACGAUGAGCGUGCUUAUUUCGAUCUUGUUAUUCUCGUAUAUUGGAAUCGUAUUAUUGUGUAAAUCUCUAAUCCGAAGUAAGCACGCUCUUCGCUCAUGAUUUGCUCCGUUUCGAGCGUGUUGAUCACCUCCCCUUAAAUUCCGAUCCUAAUUGCGUCAUACCAGUCGUAUGGCGGUGACAUCGCCGAUCAGUGCGUCACAGUGCGUGCUGAAGCGCCUGAAGCUCGAUUGCAGAAGGAGCCGUACAACUAGUCGAGCGAAUUCUCAUUCUUCGUGUGCUUCAUCUUUAAUCCAUGUGCAGUAUAUUUCAAGCCCGUCAGGCUCUAUAUUUACAUUAUCAGAGCUACGCGAACUACCAGACUAUAAUCAUUUGUGAUCGAGAGUGACAAAUAAAAAUUUGUUCACUAAUCAGCGAAGAAAUUAUGUGUUGCCUAUUUUUUGUCCAUCACCCGGCACCGGCAUUCAUCGGUAUGGCGAGGCAGUGCCGUAUUGAGCAAUACUUAUUAGAGGCACCCGCCUUGAGCUGACCCCAGCAACUGUAACGAACAAAUAUUAAUAAUGGUGUAUUUAUAUGUAAAAUAAUAUAAUUUUGAUUUCGAUUAUCAUUACAAAUACCAUUGAAAAUGCUACUCAUUUAAAACAAUGCGUCCAUGGACCGAAAGGAAUUUACGAACAGAUGGCAAAAAAUACUUUGAGAAUCCAAACUUAUAAAACUAUUGUAGAAGAAGUUUCAGAAACGUAUAUCUGUUCGUCGUAUUGCAAUUCGUUAUUUCAGCCAGAUGAGGGCCAUUGAGGCGCCGAUUUGCAGCACACGGACAGCACCGGCUCUCCCCACUUCUCGGCAUUCGGCUGAUUCGGCGUGCGUCGUCGAGACUCGACAUUCGAGCAGCCAAGGCUUCGAGUGGGGACUGGGGAGGUCUUCCUGUCUCUUUCUUUCUCGGUUCCUCUCCUUCUCGCUGUAUCCUCUUCUGUCGAGCGUUCUCUUUCUUUCUUGUUACAGGCAUAGCUUUGCUUUCAGCUACGAAUUCCAAUUUUCGGGCACAGAACCGAG